rnacentral:rRNA from 1 species
UACGGGGGGGGCAAGCGUUGUUCGGAAUUACUGGGCGUAAAGGGCUCGUAGGUGGCCAACUAAGUCAGACGUGAAAUCCCCAGGCUCAACUUGGGAACUGCGUCUGAUACUGGAUGGCUUGAAUUCGGGAGAGGGAUGCAGAAUUCCAGGUGUAGCGGUGAAAUGCGUAGAUAUCCGGAGGAACACCGGUGGCGAAGGCGGCUUCCUGGACCGACACUGACGCUGAGGCGCGAAAGCUAGGGGAGCAAACGGG